UACGUAGGGUGCAGGCGUUAAUCGGAAUUACUGGGCGUAAAGCGUGCGCAGGCGGUGCGCCAAGCUCGAUGUGAAAGCCCCGGGCUUAACCUGGGAAUUGCAUUGAGGACUGGCGUGCUCGAGUGCGGCAGAGGGGGGUGGAAUUCCACGUGUAGCAGUGAAAUGCGUAGAGAUGUGGAGGAACACCGAUGGCGAAGGCAGCCCCCUGGGCCGACACUGACGCUCAUGCACGAAAGCGUGGGGAGCAAACAGG
rnacentral:rRNA from 1 species